rnacentral:lncRNA from 1 species
AGGGUGCUGAUCUAUGACUCCUAGUGUGCACGUUCCUGAAGACCAUGCUGCCUCCUCCUCUCAGCUACGUUGGGCAAGGCCUCAGGGUAAAGUCUUGUGGGAAGCCUGUGAGAAAAGCAUAUGCCUCUUGCUGGUGACUUACUGCCUUCACACCGUCAGGCUUGCCAGAGACAGGAAAUCAGGGGUCUUAAGGGGUGGGAGAAGUCUGCACAUUUAUUUUCCAGCCAGACUUCUGGCUGUACCCACUGGCGUCACAAGCUCUUCAUCCCCUGGGAGAGUGCUGGGUUUCUGACGAUGCU